rnacentral:rRNA from 1 species
GAUGAACGCUGGCGGCGUGCCUAAUACAUGCAAGUCGAACGGAACUUGUUUAUUAGCGAGUGCUUGCACUCACGGAUAAAGGAUUGAGUGCUGAACGUCUGAGUGACACGUGGGCAAACCGCCCAAAAAAGGGGGCUAACACUUCAUAACAGGUGCUAAUACCGGAGAAGCAUAGUUAGCCCAUACGAACUAUGAUAAAGGUAGCUCUACUACGGCUUUUGGAUGGGUCCGCGGCGCAUUAGCUAGUUGGUAGGGUAAAGGCUUACCAAGGCAAUGAUGCGUAGCCGAAUUGAGAGGUUGAUCAGUCACAUUGGAACUGAGACACGGCCCAAACUCCUACGGGAGGCAGCAGUAGGGAAUAUUCCACAAUGGGCGAAAGCCUGAUGGAGCAACGCCGCGUGGGUGAAGAAGGUCUUCGGAUCGUAAAACCCUGUUGGUAGAGAAGAAAGGGAGUGAGAGUAAAUAUUCAUGUUUCGACGGUAUCUAACCAGAAAGCAACGGCUAACUACGUG